rnacentral:rRNA from 1 species
CCUACGGGAGGCAGCAGUGGGGAAUAUUGGGCAAUGGGCGAAAGCCUGACCCAGCGACGCCAUGUGGGUGAUGAAGGCCUUCGGGUUGUAAAGCCCUGUUAGGUGGGAAGAAGGGUCAGAGGUGAAUAAUCUUUGGACUUUGACGGUACUACCGAAGAAAGCACCGGCUAACUCCGUGCCAGCAGCCGCGGUAAU